GGUUUUUCCUUAAGCCUCACAACAAUUUACAGCAUUGCCAGCAGCAUUCAGUACAUUCAGAACAGGAUAAUUUCACCCGCAGCUGAACUAGGGCCAUGCCUGGGACAGACAGAGAAUGGCCUUCCAGCAGACAUGCCAAGAAGCAAGCCAGGGUCAGUGAGUGAAGAGGAGGGCAGGCCCAUUUGAAGCAACACAGUUUAUGAACAAAACCCAUCAGAAGAUGUCAGAAGAUAAGGAUUUUUGUCCUGAUGCUACACUUACCAGCUGUCCCUCAGUGUUCUACUUCUUAAAAAAAGAGAGAUGGAUAAACAGAGGCAACCCGAGGAUAAAGGCCUUGCUCAGUGUCACACAUUUCAGUCACUAAAUAAGACACAAUGGAUGCCAGUAUUCUCAUCCCCUCACAAAUAAAGAGCCUUCAAGCUCUUGCAGUCAA
rnacentral:lncRNA from 10 species